CCUACGGGGGGCAGCAGUGAGGAAUAUUGGUCAAUGGACGAGAGUCUGAACCAGCCAAGUAGCGUGAAGGAUGACUGCCCUAUGGGUUGUAAACUUCUUUUAUAUGGGAAUAAAACGUUCCACGUGUGGGAUUUUGUAUGUACUAUAUGAAUAAGGAUCGGCUAACUCCGUGCCAGCAGCCGCGGUAAUACGGAGGAUCCGAGCGUUAUCCGGAUUUAUUGGGUUUAAAGGGAGCGUAGGUGGAUUGUUAAGUCAGUUGUGAAAGUUUGCGGCUCAACCGUAAAAUUGCAGUUGAAACUGGCAGUCUUGAGUACAGUAGAGGUGGGCGGAAUUCGUGGUGUAGCGGUGAAAUGCUUAGAUAUCACGAAGAACUCCGAUUGCGAAGGCAGUUCACUGGACUGCAACUGACACUGAGGCUCGAAAGUGUGGGUAUCAAACAGGAUUAGAUACCCCUGUAGUC
rnacentral:rRNA from 1 species